rnacentral:rRNA from 1 species
UACGUAGGGCGCAAGCGUUGUCCGGAAUUAUUGGGCGUAAAGAGCUCGUAGGCGGCUUGUCGCGUCGGUUGUGAAAGCCCGGGGCUUAACCCCGGGUCUGCAGUCGAUACGGGCAGGCUAGAGUUCGGUAGGGGAGAUCGGAAUUCCUGGUGUAGCGGUGAAAUGCGCAGAUAUCAGGAGGAACACCGGUGGCGAAGGCGGAUCUCUGGGCCGAUACUGACGCUGAGGUGCGAAAGCGUGGGGAGCAAACAGG